GACGAACGCUGGCGGCGUGCUUAACACAUGCAAGUCGAAAGAAGUGGCGAACGGGUGAGUAACGCGUAAUCAACCUGCCCUUCAGAGGGGGACAACAGUUGGCAACGACUGCUACUACCGCAUACUGAAGGAGGUGCUUGCGUCUGUUGUGCUAGUUGGAGGGGUAAAGGCUCACCAAGGCGAUGAUCAGUAGCCGGUCUGAGAGGAUGAACGGCCACAUUGGGACUGAGACACGGCCCAGACUCCUACGGGAGGCAGCAGUGGGGAAUCUUCCGCAAUGGACGAAAGUCUGACGGAGCAACGCCGCGUGAGUGAUGACGGCCUUCGGGUUGUAAAGCUCUGUUAAUCGGGACGCGGUACCGGAAUAGAAAGCCACGGCUAACUACGUGCCAGCAGCCGCGGUAAUAC
rnacentral:rRNA from 1 species